GCUGGGCUUGGUGGUAUGCAAUUGUAGCCCCACCUACUCAGGAGGCCGAGGCAGGAGGAUUAGUUGAGCCCAGGAGUCCUGGGAUGUAGGGUGCUAUGCUGAUCAGGUGUCUGCAUAAGCUUGCUUCCAAUAUGGUAAACUCCCUGGACUGGGGGACCACCAGGUACCCAAAGGAGGGGUGAACUGGCCCAGGCUGGAAAUAGAGCAGGUCAAAACUCCUCUGCUGAUACAGUUUGGCUCUGAAUUCCCACCCAAAUCUCAUGUCAAAUUGUAAUCCCCAGUGUCG
rnacentral:SRP_RNA from 1 species